rnacentral:tRNA from 1 species
GGCCGCUUGGCGUAGUGGUAUCGCGCUUGCUUUGGGUGACAGGGGCUCAUCCUAGCUCAAAAUAUGCAAGAGGUCACGAGUUCGAUCCUCGUAGCGGCCC